rnacentral:tRNA from 1 species
GGCGUUGUCGUCUAACGGUUAGGACGCGGGCCUUUGAAGCCUGCGAUUCGGGUUCAAAUCCCGACAAUGCCU